rnacentral:rRNA from 1 species
UCACUUUCAACAACGUAUCUCUUGGCUCUCGCAUCGAUGAAGAACGUAGCGAGGUGCGAUAAGUAAUGUGANAUUGCAGAAUUNCNCNGCGAAUCAUCGAAUCUUUGAACGCAAAUUGCACUCUCUUCGGAGAGUAUGCCUGUUUGAGGGUCA